rnacentral:rRNA from 1 species
UACGAAGGGAGCUAGCGUUGUUCGGAUUCAUUGGGCGUAAAGGGUGCGUAGGCGGCGGGGCAAGUCGGAUGUGAAAUCUCAGGGCUCAACCCUGAAACUGCAUUCGAUACUGCCUUGCUCGAGGACUGGAGAGGAGAUUGGAAUUCACGGUGUAGCAGUGAAAUGCGUAGAUAUCGUGAGGAAGACCAGUGGCGAAGGCGGAUCUCUGGACAGUUCCUGACGCUGAGGCACGAAGGCCAGGGGAGCAAACGGG